AAUGAACGUUGGCGGCGUGGAUUAGGCAUGCAAGUCGAGCGAGAACCAAGAUAGCUUGCUAUCGAGGGGACAGCGGCGCAAGGGAGAGUAACGCGUAGAUACGUACCCUGAGGACCGGGAUAGCGUUGGGAAACUGGCGGUAAUACCGGAUAAUGUCCCUGGACCAAAGGUGAGAUUCCGCCUCUGGAUCGGUCUGCGUCCUAUUAGCUUGUUGGUGGGGUAACGGCCUACCAAGGCCAAGAUGGGUACCGGGUGUGAGAGCAUGAUCCGGCUCACUGGGACUGAGACACUGCCCAGACACCUACGGGUGGCUGCAGUCGAGAAUCUUCCGCAAUGGGCGCAAGCCUGACGGAGCGACGCCGCGUGCGGGAUGAAGGCCUUCGGGUUGUAAACCGCUGUUAGUUGGGAGGAAAUCACAGGGGGUUCUCCCCCUGUGUUGACCGAUCUUCAGAGGAAGCGCAGGCUAAGUUCG
rnacentral:rRNA from 1 species